rnacentral:tRNA from 11 species
GGUUCAUUGGUCAAGCGGUUAAGACGUCGCCCUCUCACGGCGAAAACAGGGGUUCGAUUCCCCUAUGAACUGCUA